rnacentral:rRNA from 1 species
AGCGAACGCUGGCGGCAGGCCUAACACAUGCAAGUCGAACGAAGUCUUCGGACUUAGUGGCGGACGGGUGAGUAACACGUGGGAACGUGCCUUUAGGUUCGGAAUAACUCAGGGAAACUUGUGCUAAUACCGAAUGUGCCCUUCGGGGGAAAGAUUUAUCGCCUUUAGAGCGGCCCGCGUCUGAUUAGCUAGUUGGUGAGGUAAAGGCUCACCAAGGCGACGAUCAGUAGCUGGUCUGAGAGGAUGAUCAGCCACAUUGGGACUGCGACACGGCCCACACUCCUCCGGGCGGCAGCAGUGGGGAAUCUUGCGCAAUGGGCGAAAGCCUGACGCAGCCAUGCCGCGUGAAUGAUGAAGGUCUUAGGAUUGUAAAAUUCUUUCACCGGGGACGAUAAUGACGGUACCCGGAGAAGAAGCCCCGGCUAACUUCGUGCCAGCAGCCGCCGUAAGAC